rnacentral:rRNA from 1 species
AUUGAACGCUGGCGGCAGGCCUAACACAUGCAAGUCGAGCGAGCGGCGGACGGGUGAGUAAUGUAUGGGGACUGCCCGAUAGAGGGGGAUAACUACUGGAAACGGUAGCUACUACCGCAUACUAUCGGAUAACCCAUAUGGGAUUAGCUAGUAGGUGAGGUAAUGGCUCACCUAGGCGACGAUCCCUAGCUGGUCGGGGAGGAUGAGCAGCCACACUGGGACUGAGACACGGCCCAGACGCGUACGGAGGCAGGAGUGGGGAAUAUUGUACAAGGGGCGCAAGCCUGAUGCAGCCAUGCCGCGUGUAGGAAGAAGGCCAUAGGGUUGUAAAGUACUUUCAGUCGGGAGGCGUUACCGACAGAAGAAGCACCGGCUAACUCCGUGCCAGCAGCCGCGGUAAUAC